rnacentral:rRNA from 1 species
UACGGGGGGGGCAAGCGUUGUUCGGAAUUACUGGGCGUAAAGGGCUCGUAGGCGGCCAACUAAGUCAGACGUGAAAUCCCCAGGCUUAACCUGGGAACUGCGUCUGAUACUGGAUGGCUUGAAUUCGGGAGAGGGAUGCAGAAUUCCAGGUGUAGCGGUGAAAUGCGUAGAUAUCUGGAGGAACACCGGUGGCGAAGGCGGCAUCCUGGACCAACACUGACACUGAUGAGCGAAAGCCAGGGGAGCAAACGGG